rnacentral:lncRNA from 1 species
UGGAGUUGGUCCUGACUCGGGGGCCUGUCAGUCAUCGGCCAAGGGCCAGGCUUUGGGGUGUCGACUCCCACACAGCUCAGCUCCCUGAAGAUGUGGGCACGGUGGUGGUGGGGGCUGCUGAAGAGUUGCAGAUGCAGCCACUGGAGGGGAGGCUGAGGUCAGUAGCCAGGCUCACAGGGACGACAAUGGGAUGGGAAGCAACACCUGACGGGCUCAGCUACAGGUGCUGACGGAUUCACAGGCAGGUGGCAGAAGGCAGUCAAAUAAAUGAGACAAUACAGCGCCCUCCCUGCGACCACACACACCGCUCACGCCUGUGAGGACAUGGAAGCACAGGGAGGUUAUGCCACUCGCCCAAAGACAACUAAUCAGUGACAGCUGAGACUUGGACUGCAGAACCUACACUUUAUAACUAUUUUACAGUUCUGGGCGUCACGGAAUCUUGCAUGAAGAGCCCCUAACCUGGCCCGGGUGGAGGCUCUGCUUCCUCAGUGUCAGCAUCAUUCACAGCAGGCAUGUCCCUCCUGCCUCCAAGAGAGUCACCAGCAGCUUCCUCCUCCACAUCUAGAGAUAUUAUUCCCCCCAUUUCAUGGAGGAGGAAACUGACGAUCAGAGCAGCCAGGAAACAGGAUGGCGUUGUCUGCUGAGGGACGGUGUGUUCCCUGGAGAGGAGAUCCAGCUUGCCAUUGUGGGUUUCUUACAGCAAAAAUCCUGUGUGUACACAUAUGCUGAACAAGGCGCACACAGUCUUCAUACUUCUUUCCCCAAAUCCACUGUUGUACCUCACUCUGGAAACCAAAGAAUACAAAUGGAGAUGAGGCUAA